AAAACUUUCAACAAUGGAUCUCUUGGCUCGCAUCGAUGAAGAACGCAGC
rnacentral:rRNA from 1 species